rnacentral:rRNA from 1 species
AACGAACGCUGGCGGCAUGCCUAACACAUGCAAGUCGAACGGGAUCCUGGUUUCGGCCAGGUGAGAGUGGCGGACGGGUGAGUAACGCGUGGGAACCUGCCCAGUGGUGGGGGAUAACUGCGGGAAACUGCAGCUAAUACCGCAUGAGCCCGAAAGGGGAAAGAUUGAUCGCCAUUGGAGGGGCCCGCGUUCGAUUAGGUAGUUGGUGAGGUAACGGCUCACCAAGCCUUCGAUCGANAGCUGGUCUGAGAGGAUGAUCAGCCACACUGGGACUGAGACACGGCCCAGACUCCUACGGGAGGCAGCAGGUGGGGAAUAUUGGACAAUGGGCGCAAGCCUGAUCCAGCCAUGCCGCGUGAGUGAUGAAGGCC